GACGAACGCUGGCGGCGUGCUUAACACAUGCAAGUCGAACGGAAAGGCCCUUCGGGGUACUCGAGUGGCGAACGGGUGAGUAACACGUGGGUGAUCUGCCCUGCACUUUGGGAUAAGCCUGGGAAACUGGGUCUAAUACCGAAUAGGACCACGCGCUUCAUGGUGUGUGGUGGAAAGCUUUUGCGGUGUGGGAUGGGCCCGCGGCCUAUCAGCUUGUUGGUGGGGUAAUGGCCUACCAAGGCGACGACGGGUAGCCGGCCUGAGAGGGUGACCGGCCACACUGGGACUGAGAUACGGCCCAGACUCCUACGGGAGGCAGCAGUGGGGAAUAUUGCACAAUGGGCGCAAGCCUGAUGCAGCGACGCCGUGUGAGGGAUGACGGCCUUCGGGUUGUAAACCUCUUUCAAUAGGGACGAAGCGCAAGUGACGGUACCUAUAGAAGAAGCACCGGCCAACUACGUG
rnacentral:rRNA from 1 species